rnacentral:rRNA from 1 species
GACGAACGCUGGCGGCGUGCUUAACACAUGCAAGUCGAACGGAAAGGCCCUGCUUUUGUGGGGUGCUCGAGUGGCGAACGGGUGAGUAACACGUGAGUAACCUGCCCUUGACUUUGGGAUAACUUCAGGAAACUGGGGCUAAUACCGGAUAGGAGCUCCUGCUGCAUGGUGGGGGUUGGAAAGUUUCGGCGGUUGGGGAUGGACUCGCGGCUUAUCAGCUUGUUGGUGGGGUAGUGGCUUACCAAGGCUUUGACGGGUAGCCGGCCUGAGAGGGUGACCGGCCACAUUGGGACUGAGAUACGGCCCAGACUCCUACGGGAGGGAGCAGUGGGGAAUAUUGCACAAUGGGCGGAAGCCUGAUGCAGCAACGCCGGGUGCGGGAUGACGGCCUUCGGGUUGGAAACCGCUUUCGCCUGUGACGAAGCGUGAGGGACGGUAAUGGGUAAAGAAGCACCGGCUAACUACGG